ACACCCGUAUUGUUGGAUUAUUUGGGGUUUGUCCCGAGCUUAUCCUUGUUCAUUUUUUUACACAACCCGGCGAUCUCAGCCGGGAAAGUCGGCUGAGCACCACCGGAAACGCUGCAACAGCUUUCGCUGGAAAUGCCCUGAAACGCCCUAGAAAUGGCCACCGCGCAUCCAAUUGGGGCAG
rnacentral:sRNA from 1 species